GCGUGUAUUCUCUUCAGGAUUUAUCACUCAGCUGAGAUUUUCAGGAAGAUGGAUGGGAGGCAAAAUCAAUUAAUCAGCUGUGGAAUUCCUACUGAGGAUGGAAUGUGUUGAAUUCCAAUCACUGUGGAAAUUAAGGAGCUGGAGGCUAAAUUUACUGUAAAGAGAGAGGUUUUGCAUCUGCCUGUGUCAGUUCUCCAGCGUAUUGAGAUGUGUGUGUUGUAUGUGCACAUGUGCUAAAUAUAUAGCUGCCAAGAGUGAUAAUUUGAUCAAUAAACUUUGUGUUUGCCGUGAAGUCACACUGUUUCUGGCCAUCUGCUUCCUGUGAAACUGGCAUUAAACUGUUGAAUGGAAGAUUGUCUUUCCGUGGCAAGGGGAAGAGUGCCUGUGCUUUAAGAAAUACAGUGUGUCUUCAUAAGAACAUGAUUACUGUCAUAUUGACCCAAGCAAAGGUGGCAGCCAGUCCAGUCUCCUCUCUCCAGCUCUCACCUAGGAUGGACACCUAAGGAAUCAUUAAAAUAACAAGGGAGACACACAGGAAUAAUUUCCUGUGGAUAUGAUGUGCAGUACUGGACUUGCGUGAAGUCGUAUAUUUUGUUAGACCAAGACAUAUGCAUGGAAAAGACAGACAGACUUUUGGCCACACUUUUCUAUGGGUUAGAAUCACCUUUCAGUUAAGAGCAAUUGCUUACCAUUUCCUAAGAUAUUUAUUAAUUAAGCCAGAUCUGAAAAGAAGGAGAUGGUAGCUUUAGACUAGAGAGGAUAUUGCUGAUGUUAAGGAAGGGAAAAAUAGCAUUUAUUAGCUAACCGAAAAGGACAGACAAUUACUUUACAGUCUGUUGAUUUGGAGAGGGGUAAGUGGGAGGGGGCAGUGUUGAAUGUUGUAGUAGAAGGAGAUUAUAAUGUACUAUCAGACCAGCAUCUCUACUAAGCCCACAGUUUUGGGUAGAGUUAGGAAACCUAGUUCCCAUGUGCACUUCUGUGGGACAAGUUUGUAGUUUCCCUUAAGGAUCAGGUCUGAAAGGAGAGGAAGAAUGUCUGUUUUCUGAGAAAGACUCCCUCACAAACAGCACAGUGGUUUAUUUGGUCUAUGAAGAUGGCCUCCAGGAGCUCAUGCUCAUGCUGAGUGGUCGUUUUCAGCAGUAGAACUACAAGGAAUGCAGCUGUGCACUGGAUGAAGUACAGCCCUGGAACAUCAAAUAUAAGACCUGGGUAUGCUGAUGAUUUGAUGGCAGGGGGUGUUCAUUGCUGUAAUAGUGGAUGGGCAUCAAAACACAUCUUACAUUUCUUGCUCAGGCACGGUUUACACUGAUCUGGUGAUCUGGGCCACAAAGGAUUAUGCUCUAAUGAUGAGUUUUGUGGUUUGGGGUGUUUGAAAUGUAGGACAAGUGCUUCUGGGAAGAUUCUUUCCACACAGGAUUUUCUUCUGUAAUGUGAAA